UGAUUGUCCAAACGCAAUACA
rnacentral:miRNA from 1 species